rnacentral:rRNA from 1 species
AACGAACGCUGGCGGCAGGCCUAACACAUGCAAGUCGAACGCCGUAGCAAUACGGAGUGGCAGACGGGUGAGUAACACGUGGGAACGUACCCUUCGGUUCGGAAUAACUCAGGGGAAACUUGAGCUAAUACCGGAUACGUCCGAGAGGAGAAAGAUUUAUCGCCGAGGGAUCGGCCCGNGUCUGAUUAGCUUGUUGGUGAGGUAACGGCUCACCAAGGCGACGAUCAGUAGCUGGUCNGAGAGGAUGAUCAGCCACAUUGGGACUGAGACACGGCCCAAACUCCUACGGGAGGCAGCAGUGGGGAAUAUUGGACAAUGGGCGCAAGCCUGAUCCAGCCAUGCCGCGUGAGUGAUGAAGGCCCUAGGGUUGU